CCUACGGGUGGCAGCAGUGGGGGAUAUUGCACAAUGGGGGGAACCCUGAUGCAGCGACGCCGCGUGGGUGAAGAAGCGCCUCGGCGCGUAAAGCCCUGUCAGCAGGGAAGAAAAUGACGGUACCUGAAGAAGAAGCCCCGGCUAACUACGUGCCAGCAGCCGCGGUAAUACGUAGGGGGCAAGCGUUAUCCGGAUUUACUGGGUGUAAAGGGGGCGCAGACGGCGAUGCAAGCCAGGAGUGAAAGCCCGGGGCCCAACCCCGGGACUGCUCUUGGAACUGCGUGGCUAGAGUGCAGGAGGGGCAGGCGGAAUUCCUGGUGUAGCGGUGAAAUGCGUAGAUAUCAGGAGGAACACCGGUGGCGAAGGCGGCCUGCUGGACUGCAACUGACGUUGAGGCCCGAAAGCGUGGGGAGCAAACAGGAUUAGAUAGGUC
rnacentral:rRNA from 1 species